GCAGACGGCGGAGAGCAGAGAGGGAGCGCGCCUUGGCUCGCUGGCCUUGGCGGCGGCUCCUCAGGAGAGCUGGGGCGCCCACGAGAGGAUCCCUCACCCGGGUCUCUCCUCAGGGAUGACAUCAUCCGUCCACCUCCUUGUCUUCAAGGACCACCUCCUCUCCAUGCUGAGCUGCUGCCAAGGGGCCUGCUGCCCAUCUACACCUCACGAGGGCACUAGGAGCACGGUUUCCUGGAUCCCACCAACAUACAAAGCAGCCACUCACUGACCCCCAGGACCAGGAUGGCAAAGGAUGAAGAGGACCGGAACUGACCAGCCAGCUGUCCCUCUUACCUAAAGACUUAAACCAAUGCCCUAGUGAGGGGGCAUUGGGCAUUAAGCCCUGACCUUUGCUAUGCUCAUACUUUGACUCUAUGAGUACUUUCCUAUAAGUCUUUGCUUGUGUUCACCUGCUAGCAAACUGGAGUGUUUCCCUCCCCAAGGGGGUGUCAGUCUUUGUCGACUGACUCUGUCAUCACCCUUAUGAUGUCCUGAAUGGAAGGAUCCCUUUGGGAAAUUCUCAGGAGGGGGACCUGGGCCAAGGGCUUGGCCAGCAUCCUGCUGGCAACUCCAAGGCCCUGGGUGGGCUUCUGGAAUGAGCAUGCUACUGAAUCACCAAAGGCACGCCCGACCUCUCUGAAGAUCUUCCUAUCCUUUUCUGGGGGAAUGGGGUCGAUGAGAGCAACCUCCUAGGGUUGUUGUGAGAAUUAAAUGAGAUAAAAGAGGCCUCAGGCAGGAUCUGGCAUAGAGGAGGUGAUCAGCAAAUGUUUGUUGAAAAGGUUUGACAGGUCAGUCCCUUCCCACCCCUCUUGCUUGUCUUACUUGUCUUAUUUAUUCUCCAACAGCACUCCAGGCAGCCCUUGUCCACGGGCUCUCCUUGCAUCAGCCAAGCUUCUUGAAAGGCCUGUCUACACUUGCUGUCUUCCUUCCUCACCUCCAAUUUCCUCUUCAACCCACUGCUUCCUGACUCGCUCUACUCCGUGGAAGCACGCUCACAAAGGCACGUGGGCCGUGGCCCGGCUGGGUCGGCUGAAGAACUGCGGAUGGAAGCUGCGGAAGAGGCCCUGAUGGGGCCCACCAUCCCGGACCCAAGUCUUCUUCCUGGCGGGCCUCUCGUCUCCUUCCUGGUUUGGGCGGAAGCCAUCACCUGGAUGCCUACGUGGGAAGGGACCUCGAAUGUGGGACCCCAGCCCCUCUCCAGCUCGAAAUCGGCAGACUAGGAUGGAAGUGCCCUGUGAGCUGGGGGGCCCUUCAAAGGGCCAAGGAGAAAACGCAGGCCGAGGGACCAGCCUUCCAAAUGGGCUUCAAGCUCCAAUGACCUCCGCUCGCCCCCUCGAAAUGUCUGGAAAACAUAAUGGGCAGAUUUUCUGUCUUCAAAGUUUCCGGCUAAACCUCUUCAAGUUCUUUAUUGUUUGGGACUGAGACACUCAGCCAUGUUAAUGGGUAGUUUCUUUUGUAUUUGCCUUGAAAGGCCAAAAUAUUUUUAUAUUGCCACAGACAAAGCCACCUAUUUAAAAAUGAACUCCAUGUCCGUCGUUUCCCACCAGGAGACUAUGUACCAUGUGUGUGUCUCUAUGUAUUCUGGGGUCUUGAAACAGGUUUCUCAUGGGGAUGGUCAUUCACCACGGUCCAGAGGGGCAGAACAGGCGGCGCUUGCCUUGCCCAGGGGGCCUGGGGAACGUGGGCCCUCAUCUCAGAUCUGCCCCCAGUAUGUUUAGGACGCGAGCCCCAGAAGGAUCUGGGAGUAAACUUAACAUUCACUGUGUCUCUGCUCUGCAUCCGCCAUUUGUGUGUGUUUCUGGACUGUGGGCUGUGUGUACCUUGGUUGGUGACUCAGUGAGAAGAAGCAGGAAUGCCAAAGAUACUGUGAAUGUUCUGAGUUUUGUUGCUGUUGUUGUUGAGAGGUUGUUUCACUGGUAUCUAUUGCAUUGUAUAAUAAAUGACCAGAUGAAUGAAUGAGUGAAGCAAGAGAGAAUGAAUAAACAAGUAAAUAGGUAAAGAAGUAAGCAAGCCAGGAUGAGAGUGUGUGUACACAAGACCAUGGUUCAUCCGCUUUGAUGGCUAGGCAAUCAAUAUAUAAAUAGAAAAAAACCAGUGAAUCACUAAGUAAUAGGGCAACACACAAAGCGAUAUCAGGUGAUUAUGGACUAAGGGGUAUGUGUAACUCAAAUAUAUGCCUCUGACAUUUGACAAUGAAAAAGAACCUAAAUGAAAGAAAGAAUGGAUGUAUGAGUAGUGAAGUGCAGAAUGAGACAUAGAUUUUGAGGCCCGUCAAAAUGAAAAGAUGCAAGUUAGGGAACAAGUGAUCAAAAGGGAGAAGGGAAAGGUUUUUUUUAAAAAACCAAAACAACAAAGAAAGGUUAAAAAAAAAAACAGACUAGAGGAUGAGUAAUGAGUAACUCUGUAAGGAGGACCAUGUCAGACUAUUGUAAGCUAAGCAUUAGGACUGAUACAAAUAAUAUAUGCUCCUGGCAUAGAAAAAUAAACCACAGAGAACGAGUUCAAAGAAUAGCAAAGAAAGAAAGAGGACCCAGUGGGCGAAAGAUGAGAGUGUACUUUUACCAAAAGUUAUCUAAGCCUGAGCACUUGAAGUCUGCACAUAAAUAAAUAAAUGACAAAAGAAAGAAAAAAAGGCCAAAAAGUCUACAUUGCGUGUGUGGAUGGAUGAAUGAGCAGUGGGAGUGCAGCGCCAGGUGACAAGAUGUUGUGAGGGGUUUUGAGUCAUCCAGUCCUGGGCACUGAGGUCUGUUAGAUGAAAGGAUAUGAGAAAGGUAAUAUUGGUAAAUAAAGAAAUAGGAAACAAUGUAACAAAUGUUAAGUACAGAAAUACAUUAAUGGGUGGUAAAUAAAGAUGUAAAAGAAGGCAAUGCGAUCGAUGGUGGCAAAAGAUCAUCACAGAUUAAGGGCUAUGGCUGGUCCACUUCUAGAAAACCACAGGCUGUCCAUUAAAUAAUGAACAUCUAAGUGAACAAGUCAGUGAGUACCUAAAUAGACAAGGAUGAGGUGAAUGAGAAGACAUGGCCCCAUGGGUCCUCCUGAUGAGGGUGUUGGGGUCCCCCCUGGGCACCCCAGCUGCAUGAAAAUGAAGGACAGGAGGUAUGGAAAGCUAUGACAGAAGAGAGAAAGGAACGGUAAAAAGAAAUAACAACCAAAUGGAUAAAUGGGUAGAUCCACGAGAAGAGUUAGGCUAGGACUUGUCAUAAGGGCACCUGACUCCACUAAUAGAGGAAUAAAUGCCUAAUAAAAAGAGAGCAAGCAGGAAGGAAGGAUGCUAUGAAUGCAGGAAGGAAGUAAUGAGUGAGACGUGGAACCGCACGGCCAAGGAUGGACGUUUGCGGGUGGCUUUUUGAUGCGUACAGCCAAGCCACUCCAUGGCAAUGAGCUCCGAAGACAAAGUGCAAGAGAGAAUGAGUGAGAGAGUGAGAGAGAGAGAAACAAUAAAAAAUGGGAAGAAAUGUAAAAAGGAAGAAAGGAAGAGAGGUAAUAUAUUAAGGAAUAAAUACAUGCAUGCAGAUUUAAGACAGAGCCAUGCUAGAACAGGAAUGAAAGGCUGUGUGAACCAAGCAGACCGCUUAAUUGGCACCAGUGCUGCUGGUAUGGUCAAUCACCUACUCAACUAAGGAACGGCUCAAAGCAUACACAUGGGAGGGAGGAGUGGGGCCACAGAGAGAGGGCCCAUUAGUUGCAGAUUACGAUGUAUCCAGUUAGGUGCACCUGCCUUCGAGAAGUGUAAAAAUAAGUAUUUACAUAGAAAGAAAGACUGAAUGGAUGCACGGUGAAUGCAUGAAUGAUUGAACGACAGAAAAGAUUUGCAUUGACCGAUGAGGAGGGCAUUGUAGACAGGGAUGAGGGUCAUUGAUCCUGGGUGCAGAUCUCCAAAAGAAUGACAGAAAGAAAGAGGGAGUGGUGGAAAGAAACAAUAGGAUGGGAAAAAAUGAAAAUAGAAAAAAGGAAGUGAAAGAGAUAAUAAAUAAUUAGAUCAAAUAAGUUGAUGAAAGGGGACUGGUUUAGCACAAGCCAUCCACAUUAAUUCAAACCUGUGGCUCUGAAGUUUGUUUUUUAAAUGACCACAAGUGUAAGACUGAAUGAAAGAAUAAAUGCGUGCAUUCCAUAGGAUGCAAGAAAAGGAGUGAGGAAUGGGAAAAUUGGAAGAACGAGAGAGGGAGAGAUGUAAGAAAAGAAAGGAAAAGUGAAGUAGGCAUAUGAAAGAAAAGGCACUUCUUGGACAAGCACUGAAAUAUAAUGAGACAGUUUUACCCAUUAAAUAUAAUAAACAGUAAACGUUGAGGUUCAUCAAUAAAAGCACAGAUACCUGAAUAGAGGAGUGACCUGAAUAGAAUUCGUUCAGCCGAACGAAUGAGAAUGGAUGAUUUUCACUAUCCUGUGCACUCAAGGCCCAAAAGAGAAAGCAAGAGAGGAGAGAAUAUGGAAACGUAUGACAGGAUGUAUAUAAGCAAUACAAACAUAUUGAAUGAAUAAAUAAAGACAUAAAUAUGUGGGAGAGUGGACCACGCAAGGACAAAAAGAGGAGAGAAGGCAGCAAGAAUUAUGACUAAUUCAAAACUGGGUUCCUGAGAUAGUUAAAUAAAUCCUGCACCAAAUCCCCAGGGGGAGAAAUUAACAAACAAAAGACAGCCCCACACGGACCAGUGUGCAGAAGGCUCCAGGAACCGCAGAUUAUGGUUAAUCCAAUUCUGUGCACCUGAGGUCCAUAAAUAAAAGAAUAAGUAUUGAAAUGAAAGAAUGACAGAAAGAAUGAAUGGACACAUGAACGACUGAAUUAGAAAUGGAAAUGCCUGGCACAGCCAGGAAGGAGCUGCCCAUGGGAUUGUCAUUCAUCUCACUCUGGGCACCUGAGGUCCAUAAGCGUGAAAAGAGGCAGGAAGAGAAGUGUCAGGGAGUCAAAGAUAGAGCUAAGGAAAGGCAAAAAUGAAACUAAAUGAAAGCGAAAGGGAAAAUAAAGAAAAACCAAUAAAAAAGAGAACGAAUACGUGGGUGUAUCUGUAAGAGUAGGAUCUGUUAGGAUUAGUCAUAAGACUGUCAGUAAUCCUGAAGAUGGAUGAGAUAAUCCAGGCCCAGGUUCCCAGGGGGAGGGAAAAUGGAGAAAAUAUAAAAAGAUGUGAAAAAGGAAAAAGGAAAGGUAAUAAACAAACAACCAAAGUGAUAAAUGGAUAGUUAAGGGAGGUUGUCUGAACAGGGAUUAUAAUUAGUUUACAUACAUACUCCUUAAACAGAUAAAUACAUUACACCUUUCAAAGAAUAAAUGAAAAAUAGAGAGACAUACCUGGCUCCAAAACAAGGCUGUAUCUUCUGCCACUGUAAUAAAAUAGAUGCAAUUGAGGUUCAUAAAUAAAAGAAUAAAUACUUAAACGUGAAAGGUGACUAAAUGCGGGGAAGAAAGAUUGCAAAUAAAUACAUGGGCCAAAGAUGUUUGGUUUGCCCAUGGAGUUUUAAUUAAAAAAAUUAAUAAGGAAAACAAAUACCCAAAAUAAGGAAGACUGACAAAUGAGUGAGUGGAUGAGAGAGUGAAUGGUGCUUGACGUAGGAGCAGUAGUGCUUUAGGGACCAGCAUGAAGGUGGUGACCGGGAGCCCUGAUUCAUGGGAUUCUGUCCACCUGACUUUAUAAGAACCAAGAAUGGCUGGGAAUGGUGGCUCACGCCUGUAAUCCCAGCACUUUGGGAGGCCGAGGUGGGCGGAUCAUGAGGUCAGGAGUUUGAGACCAGCCAGUUUGAGAUCAGCCUGGCCAACAUGGUGAAAUUCCAUCUCUACUAAAAAAAUACAAAAAUUAUGGGCGUGGUGGCACCUGUCUGUAAUCCUAGCUACUCGGGAGGCUGAGAGAGGAGAAUUGCUUGAACCCGGGAGGUGGAGGUUGUAGUGAGCCAAGAUUGCACCACUGCACUCCAGCCUGGGCUACAGAGCAAGACACUAUCUUAGAUCAAAAAAGAAAAAAAAAAAAAGAAGGAGAAAGAACCAGAGAAACAUAAGGAAGAGUGAGAGGAAGAAAGAAAGAUGCAAUUUGGGAAGAAAUGAAAAAGAAAUGAAUAAAGAAUAAAAUAAUGUAACGGUCAAUAAAUAGGACUUGUGAAUGGAGGCCUUUAGGCCAAAGGCUAUGAUUAAUUUCAAGCUAUGUUACUGAAGUCCAUAAACAAAGGACUCAGAUCUAAAUGGAUGAACGAAUGACUGGAAGAAAGGGUGGUAGGAAGGUAGGAAGAAAGGAAGGAGGGAAAAAGGGAAGAGAGGAAGGAACCUUCUUUCCAGUCCUGUGUUCUAGACAGUGGAAUGAAGUGGUCCCCAGGGAGGGUGGCUGUAGGCAUGUCAUGUGCUUGUCACAUGCACUUGCCCUGGCAGGGAGGAGCUGGCUCAGGAAGACCCUGGUCUUGGGGUGCUGUUGCCCUAUCUUGGCUGUGUGGGCCAUUUCACUGCAUCUGUCUCUUCCUCAGUUUCCCCAUCUGUAAACCUGGAGUGGCACCAGCUGCCUACUAGAGUUGAUCUUAUGUGUCUCUGUUGAUGGUACCCCAUCUAUGGCCUGGAUAGGCAGGAAGGGCUUGGACCCUGAGCCCCGCAGAAGGUUGCAUGAACGAGUGGUGUGAAGCCUGUUGGGUAGCUUGGCCACUCCCGCGGCAUGGGUCACCUGCACAGGAGGUUUUGCCCACCAGGGGGCAGCAGAGGGUCAGGGAGCAAUAGGCCCUGGGUGGAGCAUGGGCCCCGCCUGCUGUGUGCCACCCUGGGUGUGGCACCUACUCACAUCCAGGGGUUGGUGCAGGGAAAGGCCAGAAGGUGGCCAGGCGCACCUGAGAAGGGGGACCCAGAAGCCCCGGGACCCAGGAGCCCUGGGCAAGCCACCAGAAACCUUGUUCUUGCAACUCUCUGCAGUGUGCCCAGGCCACCCUCUGGCCUGGUCUUCCAUGGGGCAGGGCGCCCACCCUUCUCAACUCAGGUUUCCCUGGGCAGCAGGUGCACCUCAGCACCCCUGGGGUUGCAGAAGUGGUCCGGGGACCCUGGCUUCCUUGACAUGCCAUCCCCAGAGCCUGGUUCAAGGCCUCUCUGUCUUCUCGGCUGUUUCACGACGUGUUUUGUAACUUGGCGGGAUUGCGUUUCGCUGUGUCGAGGUUGUCUCUUCUCUGACUCGCCCUCCGGGGGACUGCCGGGGUAAAUCUGGAGAGUUGCUCGUGCUGACAGUCCUCCCCCAGGGCCUCCCCGGUUCUGUUGAGUCUCCUUUCUCUGUAGUGGAGGAAAUGUGUGUAGUUUUGUGUUGUGUGCCUGUGUUUGUCUGUAAAAGCAAGGACCAAAGUCUCCCUUGUUGACCUCUCAAUUCCUAUUUGGGACAUAUAAAAACACUGGAUUCUUAACAAGCGCCCGGAGCAGUAGGAGCACAGCUUGGAUGGACUCAGGACUUGUGGCAGGGAGCACGUGGGAGGCAGGGGAGUGGGGUGGGGCCAGGCCAUCUGGAGUGGGAGGCGUCAUGCUCAGAGUGACUCUGUAGACGCUGGGUGGGAUGGGGAGUGCGGGCGCAGGCAUGGAUGGGGCUGUUAGCUAGUGUGAUGCUUGAGGUCUGAGCUGAUGGCAGCAAAGUGGGGUGCUCAGGAAUCAAAGCUAUGGGGUUAUAGACAGGAUAUGAAGGAGGGAGGGAGGCAAGAAGAAGGGGGUGGUUCCCACGCUUCUAGCUCCGGCCGAGUGGAUGGCAACAGCAUUUGGAAGGCGGAGGACAUGGAAUUCAUGUGUCAGGAGCCACCUUCCGAGCCUCCAGUACCACGUGUCAGGGCCACAUGAGCUGGGCCUCGUGGGCCUGAUGUGGUGCUGGGGCCUCAGGGGUCUGCUCUUCUUCUCUUUCAGAAUCUGGGGCUCCAGGCUAUGCCUUGGCUGGACUGAGGUCUGGGGGUGCACUUAUUAUCCCUGGGGACACCUGCUGAAGCUUCUCCCUGACAAGCUGUGUCACUGUUGGAUGAGGAUGGGGCGGGAGGGGUUCAGGGCAGAAGAAGACCGGGAGGGUCUUUCAAAAGAACUCAUGUACGGCUGUUAAAAAAAGUCAGCAGAGGCUCAGGAAGACUUAAAGUGUGCAGAAGGCGGGGAAGGGAGGGCCCAUUGCAUGCACCAAGAGGAAAUUGGAAGGAACAAGCGACGUUGGCUGCUAGGAGAGCCUGCUCCCAACAUCUAGGGGCUGUCCUGACGGGUCACAGUGGGUCGAACUGAGCCAAUGAGAGCAGCUCUGGGGAGACCCACUGGUGCCCUGGAGGCUGGGUGGGUUUGGGUUGGAUGAAUUCUGUGUGUCCUUUUGGAAAUGUGGAGGCCAUGAGGGGGGAUCAGGGCUCUUAGGGUUUUGACCCUUAAGAGUUUUGUAUCUGUAAUUCAAAGGUUCUUUAGUUCUGGGAUGCUGAGAUUCGGGAUAGGGUUCCUAAUGGCACAAAAGCCAGAGAUAAAACAUCCUUCACGUGCUCCCUACCCGGUUCUUUCUGUACCAGACCCACAAGGUCCGAGUUGGGAUCCUAGUGCUCCUGUCUGGUCAGGGCCUAUCUUUAUGUGUUCGUUAAACUUUUAACAAUGAGAAUUAAUUCUGUCUCUUGACAUUGUCAUUUGCAUGCUCCCCACACACAAAUCCUUUCCUGGUGACACCAGGAGCUACAACUCUCCUUGGCCUCCUCUUGUGACUCCCAACUCCCUCCUUGGGAAGCUUGGCCUCAGGACCUCUGGGAUAGACAGGCCACGAAUCCUGCUGUGUCCCGUUGUGUUCCUAAUAUAAAUGGUGUGGAUGGCACUUGACCUAGAGCAGUGGGAAAUGCAUGCACCACUCAACAUUCUGACAUGUCACCCAUUUUACAUUCUUACAGGCAUACUUUUUUUAAAAAAAGAGUGUCUAUUCUUUAAUGAGCAUCCCUUCUUUAAAAAAACCUAAUUGCCAUUAUUCACCACAUACACUUUUUUUUUUUUGUAUCCUGCCUCUUCUAUUUAAUUUUCUGUCAUCAACAUUUUCCCUUGUUCCAUGAAUCUUCAUAACCUCACUUGCUGCGUUGUGCCUUGUUGAGUGGCUAUGGCAUCAUUCACAGAACCAUUCUGUUAUUCUUAUGUAUAACCACCUUUUAAAAAUAUUAUGAAUAAUGCCACAACUAACUGCUUAAAACACCCUUUUUUUCAUUCUUAAGAAUUAUGUUCUUCCACCCAGAAAUUAUCAUUGCUUCACUACAGAUCAGUUUCCCCUGCUAGACUGUGAGCCCCAUAAGGGCAAGGAGCUUAUUGAAUUGGCCUUUGUAUCUCUGAUGCCCAACAUGUUGUAGACUAUAAAUAAAUGAUGAAUGAGUGGAUGGAAGAAUGGAGGAAGGAGCGAGUGAGUGAGUGUUUGGCUGAUGGAUAAGAGGGUGGAAGGAUAGGCGGAAGGAUGGAUUGGUGAAUGAAUGAAUGAAUUUCCUUUGGUUAAGUCUCUUGAAAGAAAGGCUAUGGAUCUUUGUAUGGAUGUUGAAUAAUUUCAGUAAGCUUACAGCAUUUUACAAUGUUCAGCAAUGUAUGACCACUUAAUUAAGAUAUGGCUAGUUUGUCUCUGUUAUAAAGUACUUUUGCAUUACUUUAACUUGCAUUGCUUUAAUUACUAAUGAUGGGUGAACACUUUGACCUAUGUUUGUUAACAAAUUGUAUUUUAUCUUCUGUGAACUGUUUGUCCAAGUCCUUUGGGUCAUGGCUUUCUGAAGAGACUGGUCCCAGAUGUCCUUGGGAUGUAGGGAGCCCAUAGCUCACUGGAGGCAUUCAAGGAACCAGCCAGGCAGCCCUCAGAGAAAGUAGUGUUUAGGAGAUUCUCAUGGUGUGGGGUUGGCCUAGGUGGCCUUUCAGGUCUGUUUGAUGUUAGGAUUUGCUUCUCCCUGGGAAGUGGGUGAUGGGGAAAAAGACACCUUCCAUUGGCAGGUGUAGACACUGCAGGCUGGACCUCCUGGGUGUGCUUGUGGACUCCGAUCUUGCCCUUGAUAAAACCCCUGUGGGACAGGAAUAGCUCUUUGAACCUCCAAGGUCCAGACAGCCACAUCCUAGCACCCUGUACAAUCAGUUAGUGGCCUUCCCACCAGCGCAGUCACUCAUUCCUAUUAGAUCCCGAUGAAGCCAGGCCCUGGGGUUUCCAUUUUCCCACCUCUUAGGGGAAUUGGGUUCCCCGCGUCCUGUGAUAUGUCAGCAAAUGUCCUCAGCCCUGGCCUGCACAUGUGGCCUCAGUGGUGGUCUUUGGGGUUUAACUGACGAAUGGAACAUUUUGGAUCAGGACUGAUGGGAGAAUCUCCUUUCAUUUUUCUUCACCUGGGGCAAUUACAUUCUAAGGAGCGGAAUAAAGGGCAUGUUCUGCCCAAAGCAUCAGGGCUCACAGGUCAGUCACAGCCAUUUAGGGAGGGCAUGUCACCCAAGGAGGGCUCGCCCUUCUUUCCAGAGCAUCCUCCGCUCUCAGCAGAGCUGCUUCUGCCCACCCAUCCCUCUACUAUAGCACUGAGCACUGUUUGCCCGUGUCAGAAUCCCUCACCCACAUGUUUAGCUUGGUAUCCGAGUUUGGGAGGCCGGCAAUGACUUUCAACAUGAAUUGCUCCAUCUACCCAUCCAUGCAUUUGGCCUACUUAUCUUGACCCCGUGCUUUUGGCCUUUUCUUCUCCUGAAAGCAAACCCUUUCAUUUUGGGUGGGCUGUGUAGCGCCAUGGGCUGUGGUUAUGAAGCAAACACCCUUUCUUGUAGCUGCCUCCUCCGGGGUUACUGCCCUGAGCACGUCCCAGCUGGAUCUCGUCUGCCACUGUCACCCAUAGCUUCUUCCCCAUGGUGCUUUCCAUGUGUCACACACCACGACUGUGACCCAGGGUCGGGGUCAAGAGUAGCCUGGGGCCAAGCCCUCCCACCCAUGAGCGGAGAAGUCCUCCCCAGGCCUCACCUUGCCUGGCGCAUGGUCCCUCCCAUGAGCUUUGCUUUCAGCCUUUCAGCUUCCUCCACAGGGUGGCAGUGGUUGUAACUCAUCCAUUCAUCCCUUCAUCCCUUCAUUCAUUCACUCACAGCCAACAGACGUUUUUAAAAAAUUAGCCAGUGCUAUACUAGAGCUGGCUCCCAAGGACCCGCUGCCGCAUUGCCUUUUGAAACAAAACAAUGAACACGUUGGUAAAGGGGCCGUGCUUGUGUGUCGGUGACAAGGCGAGAUCCCUGAGUCAGGUCAGGCUUGUAGAUUCGAGUUCUGUUGCGAGUUUGAUUGCCCCUCUGACUUUGUCCCCUGUACAACUAGGUUGAUUAGGAAUCAGCCAACUGUGUUCCCUGGGUGCUCAGAAAUCACAGCCCAUAUCCUCGAGAGGCCAAAAUGAGAGCCAGGGGGUUCCAAGAUGAGUGGCUGCUUCUGGCCGGGAGCAGGUUUUCAAGUCAUUAGAACACUCUGGCCUUUCCUGGAGGUGAUCUUGGAGCCAUUCCUGCCCCUUUCAAGAGGAGUUAAUGCCCAGCUCUGUUUAGAGAAAAUUGGGGGAGAUGAUUGCUCAUGUGGGUGAUAAGAAUCACCUCCCGUGCAGGGGUCUGCAUAGAACACUCCAUAGGCAAACCUGGGUGUCCAAGGCACGUGGCAUUUUGCAAACUCUGGGUGCAGCUCCGAGCUGUCCUGCAGGUCCCAGACCAGGUGAGAACUCCCUGAGUUCCUGCUGCCUGGGUCGGGGGUGAGGCAUAGGUCUUGGGGGUUCAACCUGGAAUUCUGAAUGUCAUUCAUUGCAUUGGAGAGGAAGGAGAGUAGGCAAAGCCAAGACCCUGGAACUGGACAAACUCGUGUGGUUUAAAGUCACUGUGAGAGCUGGAGUUGAGUCUGCCUACGGGGGAGGACUGCGGCACCUACCUCGCAGGGCUGUUGUGAGGAGCAAUGUAACCGUGAUUUUGAACUGUGAUUCUGGAAGGGCGGUGUGCGUGUCCCCGGGGGUGUGCCAGGGGAGUGAGGAGAAAAGGCCAGGGAGACAGCCUCACUCAGGCAGCUGAGUGGGAGAGCAUUUAUCUCUAAACCUGGAGGGGUAUAUGGUGGGACAGGAGGAAUUUGGGCAGGAACUUUCAUGCUAGGGGUUUGGGGGACUCGCUGGACAAUGCCCCUGGACCCCCCGGGGGUACGCGUUCACGCUCACCUCUGAGAGGCUGGAAACGCCUGGCUGUGCUUUCUGAAUGCUGUGUGCUUCCUGCCUCUGUGCCUGGCCUGUGUGCAGCACCUACUUGUGUCCGCCUUCAAAAGGCCCUUCUGGGUGGCGUCCUUUUCCCCAAAAUAUUAGGCACCAGCCAUCAAAGAUACUGCAUUGUUGCCUCCCCCACCCCUCCCCCCAACUGACAACAUUUGGGCUCAAAUGCAGCAGGCUGGGUGCCCAACACAGUGCCUGGCGAGUGGUAGCGCUUACGUUUCUUUUCUGUUGAAUGGAUGGAUAGCUAAUGAAAUUGUAACCAAUGACAAGCCUUGAUGUUUAUAACCUUUACUAAGAGAUUAUUAUUUUGCUCUUCAUGGACCUGUUAACAACCACCAUAUUGUAUCUUACGGACGUUUGUAUGCCACGUUUGAAGAGCAGGAGCCUUGUUUCGGCGUCAUGUUGAUGGAACUUGAGCUGUCUGAUGCGAAUCUGUGUUUUAUGUUAGAAAGCGCGUAGCCUUAGGAUCUGGCAGACCCAGGGGCCACUUAAUUAACCCUUUGCCUCUUUGACCCUCAAUCUCCUUUUCUCUAAGCCAUAGGUCACCUGAAAGCCUACCUCACAGGGCUGUUGUGAGGGCCGAGGGUGGGUGUGUUUCAACAGUGUGCAGAUGCUGGCUUUCCCUGGGAAUGGGCAUAUGUUGGGAUUUGUCUUGAAAGCAUGAGUGAUGGCUUUACUAGUCCUAAGUGAAUAAAAAGUCAGCCCUGACCUUACGCUGGGAUUGCAUUUCCCACAGUCAGUGGCAUGUGCAGACCACUGGCAGAGCAGCCUGCAGGUGCUUAGCGAUGUGGGCCCAGAGUAAAUAUUUGUUUGAUUGAUGA
rnacentral:lncRNA from 1 species